GAACUGAGGGUAGCGGAGAAAUUCCAAUCGAACUUGGAGAUAGCUGGUUCUCUCCGAAAUAGCUUUAGGGCUAGCCUCAAGUGAUGAUUAUUGGAGGUAGAGCACUGUUUGGACGAGGGGCCCCUCUCGGGUUACCGAAUUCAGACAAACUCCGAAUGCCAAUCAAUUUAACUUGGGAGUCAGAACAUGGGUGAUAAGGUCCGUGUUCGAAAGGGAAACAGCCCAGACCACCAGCUAAGGUCCCAAAAUAUAUGUUAAGUGGAAAAGGAUGUGGCGUUGCCCAGACAACUAGGAUGUUGGCUUAGAAGCAGCCAUCAUUUAAAGAGUGCGUAAUAGCUCACUAGUCGAGUGACACUGCGCCGAAAAUGUACCGGGG
rnacentral:rRNA from 1 species